rnacentral:rRNA from 1 species
GGCAGACGGGUGAGGAACACGUACACAUCUCCCUCUUACUGAGGGGCACACUCCGAGAAAAUCGGGGCUAAUUCCCCAUAAAAUCUUAGUGUGGCAUCACACAAAGAUAAAAUCCGGUGGUAAGAGAUGGGUGUGCGUCUGAUUAGCUAGUUGGUAGGGUAACGGCUACCAAGCGACGAUCAGUAACUGGUGUGAGAGCACGACAGUCACACGGGCACUGAGAUACGGGCCCGACUCCUACGGGAGGCAGCAGUAAGGAAUAUUGGUCAAUGGGCGAAAGCCUGAACCAGCCAUGCCGCGUGCAGGAUGAAGGCCCUCUGGGUUGUAAACUGCUUUUAUCUGGGAAGAAACACCCCGUUUCUACGGGGGCCUUGACGGUACCAGGAGGAAUAAGCACCGGCUAACUCCGUGCCAGCAGCCGCGGUAAUACGGAGGGUGCAAGCGUUAAUCCGGAUUUACUUGGGUUCAAAAGGGUGCGUAGGCGGGCCUUUUUAACGUCCNGGUCGGUNGAACAUCUUCCCGGGGCUUAAACCCCGGGGGAAAAACUGGCCAAUCGGAUAACUUAAUCGGGGACCUCGUGAACUUCCCACGCUCGGACGG